rnacentral:rRNA from 1 species
UACAGAGGGUGCGAGCGUUGUCCGGAAUCACUGGGCGUAAAGGGCGCGUAGGUGGCACUCCAAGUCUGUGGUGAAAGCUCGAUGCUCAACAUCGAGUCGGCCAUAGAGGCUGGAGAGCUCGAGCACUGUAGGGGCAGAUGGAAUUCCGGGUGUAGCGGUGGAAUGCGUAGAGAUCCGGAAGAACACCGGUGGCGAAGGCGGUCUGCUGGGCAGUUGCUGACACUGAGGCGCGACAGCGUGGGGAGCAAACAGG